rnacentral:rRNA from 1 species
CCUACGGGUGGCAGCAGUGAGGAAUAUUGGUCAAUGGGCGAGAGCCUGAACCAGCCAAGUCGCGUGAGGGAGUACUGCCCUCUGGGUUGUAAACCUCUUUUGUCGGGGAGCAAAAGCCGGGGGUGUUCGGCUGGGAGAGUACCCGAAGCAGAAGCAUCGGCUAACUCCGUGCCAGUAGCCGCGGUAAUACGGAGGAUGCGAGCGUUAUCCGGAUUUAUGGGGUUUAAGGGGUGCGCAGGCGGAUGUUUAAGUCAGCGGUAAAAUCGUGGGGCUCAACCCCAUCCCGCCGUUGAAACUGGGGAUCUAGAGUGUGCGAGAGGUAUGCGGAAUGCGUGGUGUAGCGGUGAAAUGCAUAGAUAUCACGCAGAACACCGAUUGCGAAGGCAGCAUGCCGGCUUCAGACUGACGCUGAAGCACGAAAGCGUGGGGAGCGAACAGGAUUAGAUACCCGGGUAGUC